CCCUCCGUAGCCCAAUGGGUAGAGGUACCAGCCUGAGGUGCUGGAGGUUGCAGGUUCGAAUCCUGCCGGGGGGACCA
rnacentral:tRNA from 1 species